rnacentral:rRNA from 1 species
GCAUAUCAAUAAGCGGAGGAAAAGCCCCGCCCGGGUUUUCCUCGUAGCACGGCGAGUGAAGAGGGAAGAGCCCAAGAUUGAAAGCUGGCGUCUUCGGCGUCCGCAUUGUAAUCUCAAGAAGUGUUUUCCGCUUCGGACCAUGCCUAAGUCCCUUGGAAAAGGGCAUCAUAGAGGGUGAUAAUCCCGUUCAUGGCAUGGAGCGCCCGAAGCUUUGUGAUACGCUUUCUAAGAGUCGAGUUGUUUGGGAAUGCAGCUCAAAAUGGGUGGUAAAUGCCAUCUAAGGCUAAAUAUUGGGGAGAGACCGAUAGCGAACAAGUACAGUGAUGGAAAGAUGAAAAGAACUUUGAAAAGAGAGUUAAACAGUACGUGAAAUUGCCAAAAGGGAAGGGUAGGAGGUCACAGAUGCGUCUUGGAAUUCAGCCUUGCUUCUGCUUGGUGUUUUUUCCAUUUUGCAGGCCAACGUCGGUUUUGGGCACUGGAGAAGGGUGGAAGGAACGUGGCACCUCUCGGGGUGUGUUAUAGCCUUCUACUGGAUACAGCGACCGAGACCGAGGACAGCAGCGUACUCGCAAGAGCGGGCCUUCGGGCACCUUUACGCUUAGGGCGUUGGCAUAAUGGCCCUCUACCACCCGUCUUGAAACACGGACC